UGUGUGUGUGUGUGUGUGUAUAUGUAUAUAUAUAUAUAUAUAUAUACAUAUAUACAUAUACACACAUAUG